GAAAAGCACCAGGGGUGUCUGAAUCUGCUCUAGCCUAGCUGUUUUGCUGGGAUGGGGUGGAUCAGGCUGAGAAAGUCCCUUUGAACCUGAACAGGGUAAUACCUGCGUAGGGAGUGUGCGAUUUCUUUUCG
rfam:Eucalyptus grandis cultivar BRASTZ1 unplaced genomic scaffold scaffold_2, whole genome shotgun sequence.